AGGUUACUGCUAUCGAGGUUCGACUAAGCCAUGCGAGUCGAAUGUAGCAAUACAUGGCGUACUGCUCAGUAACACGUGGACAACCUACCCUUAGGCCUGGGAUAACCCCGGGAAACUGGGAAUAAUACCGGAUAUCUCGCGAAUGCUGGAAUGCGUCGCGAUAGAAAGCUCCGGCGCCUAAGGAUGGGUCUGCGGCCUAUCAGGGUAGUAGUGGGUGUAACGUACCUACUAGCCUACGACGGGUACGGGUUGUGAGAGCAAGAGCCCGGAGAUGGAUUCUGAGACACGAAUCCAGGCCCUACGGGGUGCAGCAGGCGCGAAAACUUUACAAUGCUGGAAACAGCGAUAAGGGGACCUCGAGUGCCAGGAUACAAUCCUGGCUGUCGUAAUGCCUAAAAAGCAUUGCAUAGCAAGGGCCGGGCAAGACCGGUGCCAGCCGCCGCGGUAACACCGGCGGCUCGAGUGGUAACCGCUAUUAUUGGGUCUAAAGGGUCUGUAGCCGGCUGACUAAGUCUCUUGGGAAAUCUGACAGCUUAACUGUCAGGCUUUCAGGAGAUACUGAUCGGCUCGAGACCGGGAGAGGUGAGAGGUACCUCAGGGGUAGGGGUGAAAUCUUGUAAUCCUUGAGGGACCACCAGUGGCGAAGGCGUCUCACCAGAACGGAUCUGACGGCAAGGGACGAAAGCUAGGGGCACGAACCGGAUUAGAUACCCGGGUAGUCCUAGCCGUAAACGAUACUCGCUAGGUGUCGGCCACGGUGCGACCGUGGUCGGUGCCGUAGGGAAGCCGUGAAGCGAGCCACCUGGGAAGUACGGCCGCAAGGCUGGAACUUAA
rnacentral:rRNA from 1 species